GGCUGAAGUCCAGAGGCCAGAAUGAGACUAGGACAUGGUUCCUUUGCCUAAGUAAAGUGAGGCAGACAAUGGAAUACUUCAGACUUCAAAUUAGUAUGAUUUUCAAAAUGUCUUACCUCGAACCACCACCAGAUGGCUAUGAGAAUGUUACAAAUAUUGUGCCACCAUAUAAUGCUUUCUCAGCCCAAGGCAUGCCAGAGGUAAAAUAAAAUACAUUUGUAACCCAA